UAAAUAAAUAAAUAAACAAACUUCAAAAAAAUAAAAUAUUUGUACUAUAGACUUUCAUCCACUCCUUAUAUCAUUUUAUCUAUUUUAAAAUUAUAAUUUUACACACUAAGCCGUUUCCUUGUAUGAAAAUGUGGCCUCUUGACAUGUUCUACCAAACAAACAAAUAGGAACCUGGACACUUAGUGCAUAUUCCGAUAUUUGAGAGCACUUGCUGUGGUGAGUUUUGUCCGGUGCUUCAUCAAGAUUUUUUUCUUUUAAUUAACUUAAUGGAGGUAUCAUUUAAAUACAGUAAAAUGUACUCAUUGUAUGGUUCAAUGAGCUUUUACAAAUACGUACACCAUCCAAGCAGCACCCAGUUAAGAUCUAGAACAUUUUCAGGGUGCCUGGGUGGUGUAGUCAGUUAAGCGUCCCACUCUUGAUCUCAGCUCAAGUCAUGAUCUCACGGGUUCUUGAGUUCAAGCCCUGCGUCAGGCUGUGCGCUGAUGCCGUGGACCCUGUCUCUCUUUCUCUCUGCCCCUCCCCCACUUGUUCUCUUUCUCUCUCUCUCUCAAAUAAACUUUUAAAAUAUUAAAAUUAAAAAAAAAAAGAUACAGAGCAUUUUCUUUACCAGAAAAAAAAUUGAUCUUCCUUCACAAUCUCUCCACAUCCCUUAGGUAACCACCAAUCCACUUUCUGUUACUGGAGAUGAAUUUUGCUUGUUCUAGAGUUUCUUACAGAUUGAAUCAGUAUGUACUCUUGUGUCUAGUUUUUUUAGCUUACGUGUUUUGAAAUUCAGGCUUUUGCAUAUGCCUGUAGUUUGUUCCUUUUUAUCUCUGUUCCAUCGCGGUAUAUUACAAUUUGUUUAUCUGUGUGUCCACCGAUGGAUUUCUGGUCUAUUUCUAGGUGAGGUUAUUAUGAAUAAAGCCGCUACAAACAAAUGUACAAGUCUUUGUAUGGAUCUAUGUUUCCCUUUCUUUCUGAGCGAUCUCUUCUGUGACCAGUGGUACGAUGGCCUUGUACUGGGUCAGCUUAGCCGAGCCAGAAUGGUGUUUCCCGAAAUUACUCUCCUACACGCUUGUGGGUUAGCACGGCUGCCCAAGUCGUUUUGUGUCAGAUUUAGAAGGUGGAAAUGGAGCGGCAACCACGUUACUUUUCACGCUUGGAAAGAUGAGGCGGUCUGGGAAUCACUGUUGCCGAUUCAGUCAUGUUGUAACUUCGCAGUUGGCUCGCCUGCUCGGCCCAACGCAGCAUCUGGGCCUGCGGCAGCCGUGACUCCGCUCUGCUCCCCUUCGGCUUCUCCCAGUUCUGGGCCUGAUGUGUGUUUAAGCCUCUGCCGCCCUCCAUCUCAAAGGGGUGGUGAGGGGUUGACAAACGCACCGGUCCACCUUCCUGAGUUGCACAGUCUCCCAAGUGCUAGUCCGUCCUCGUCGCCCCCUCGUGCCCACCUCACAUUUGCCUUUCCUUCCUGACUUCCUCCUCCACAGACUUCAGAUCCCAACACCAGACAGAAACGAUCACCUCCUAUGAACUGUAACCAGCCUUCACAGUUAGCUGUGGUCAAAUCCUCGCUUCUCUAAUGGAACGCUGAUAAAGAACCUGCCACUGAAAGUGAUCCCAGGGGUCAGAAUCUUAAGAAUCAGACCUCUGUUGGGGCACCUGGGGGGGCUCAGUCAGUUGAGCAUCCGACUUCAGUUCAGGUCAUGAUCUCACAGUUCAUGGGUUGGAGCCCUGAGUCAGGCUCUGUGCUGACAGCUCGGAGCCUGGAGCCUGUCUCAGAUUCUGUGUCUCCCUCUCUCUCUGCCCCUCCCCCGCUAACACUCUGUGUCUCUCUCUCUCUCAAAAAUAAAUAAAUAUUGGGGCACCUGGGUGGCUCAGUCAGUUGGGCGUCCGACUUCGGCUCAGGUCACGAUCUCGCGGUCCAUGAGUUCGAGCCCCGCGUCGGGCUCUGGGCUGAUGGCUCAGAGCCUGGAGCCUGCUUCCGAUUCUGUGUCUUCCUCUCUCUCUCCCCCUCCCCCAUUCAUGCUCUGUCUCUCUCUGUCCCAAAAAAUAAAUAAACGUUAAAAAAAAUUUUU